ACAGUUUAGACUGCUACACCCAAAGAUGAAAUGGGACGUUCCCACCCCGUCCAGAGAACAUAAACUUCAUCAUGGUGUUCAAGGUCACAAAAAGGACAGCGAGAUGACGACACUGGUAUUGACGCGGUAUUUUUUUCCAAAUUCAGCACCAAGGCCACCAAACUGACCCUUUUUAAGAGCAAAUAAAACAGGACUUUGGUAAGUAACAAGAAAUAUCCACGUCUUUAUGUUGCACACCUGCCUGCUAUGGAACAAAUUUAGUUUUUAGUACACCUUAACGGCAAUCGUUUAUGUAUUUCAUUAUCGUCCUAGUUUAUCAACUGUUGUAAUCAUUAAACCCAAAAGCCUCUUCAGGAACUUGGAUAACAUCAAUGGGAAAUAAUGCAACUCAUCUGAAGAGCUUAAACAGCCCCCUUCAAAACAAAUGUUCAUGUUGUGAUGUCUAGUCAAUGAUCAUGAUUAAACAAUGUAAAAUUUAUUAAAAUAUAACGAAAAUGAGUGAAAUGAACAGAAGGAGAUUAACAAAGAAUACAGAACCACACGAAAGAAGUAGCAGCCAACUUUAAGUUCUAGUUGUAGCAAAAACUCACUUCUGUAUUCCAUGCACAAGGGAAGUACGCAAGAAAAUUAAUUAGUUCAGGAAUAAUCAACAGCCCUAAAGACUUUCUUAGGCACAGCAUAAAAGAGAAAUGGCAAUAAAAAUAAAACAAUGGACAUUAAAUACCUAUAUGGUUAACAUGGAAUUUGCUACUUCAAAAUACCAAGAUUCUAGGACGCAAUAAAGACCAUCAAGUUGAGAAUUAUGCAAGAAUAACGUAAAACAAUGGAGAGAAGGAGAAUCAACACUUCGUUAGAAAUAAUUAGGUCUUAGAAAGCAAUGGACACAUACAGUUAAAACAGUGUGAAGGUAGAAAUAUAAUAGAAAAGCAAAGUUCAAAUAUACUCAAACCAUGUUAAAAUUUAAAUAUGUAGGAGAUCAAUGAGUGAAAAUAGGAAACAAACUAAUAUUAGGAGUUACACACAAGCCUGAAUUAAACACAAACCCCAUUGUAAUAUGAAUAAAAAAAUAUACUUUAACCGGUGCAUGAAGUGCUCUGACAAUUCAUACAAUUCCAUGAACUAAACAAGGUAAUGACUGAUAAAUAUCCAAGCUUGGGAAACUUAAAAUCAUAUUCCCAGAGACACAAGCCAUUUAUUUCAGAUCUCAGAAAAUUUAAGCCAUUUGAUUAUGCCCACCAAGA